ACCCGUGCCCGACCCAAUCUCCUCCGCCGCCGCAAGCCACCUCUACUUAUGCACGCGCCUGGCCUCGUCAUCUGUCCAGCCUCGCCUCAAUGGCGUACAAGCGGAUCUUCGAGGAGCCUGCACAGGAUUCAUCCCCCAUCUUCAUCACCUGAAUCUUUCACUACAUGAAGAAAUUGGCCCCAAAUAGACGCAUCUGACGCAUGGCGCGCAGCAGACCUUGAGCCCGCACCCCGGUCCUCCUCCGACCGCUGCGGUUAAGCGCCCUUAUGUUGCGACAAGGACGGCGGACGAUCCGAACUCCUGCCCAGCUUCCCGCAAACACGAACAACACAGCGCCGCGGCAACGACGGCCAUCACCAACGGCCGGUCAGCGGCAUGGCAACGCCCUCCUGGCUCUUUCCGCGCGCCGCCGCCGGAGGGAACCCACGCGUCGUCCCCUCCCCUGCCCCUCCGCAUGCAUGCCCGUCCCGAGGUGUUUCGUUUGGAGGCGAUUGGGGAAGAGCGUGGAGGAUGGUGGUAGGGGAUGAGGAGUGCAGGCGGAAGAUGAGUUGCUCCUUGAUCUGGAUUCACCGGUUCCUCCUCUUUUCCGGCAGCAAUCGAUGGGGGAGGCGCUGGACGGGAGCAACAUCGGCGAGGUCCUUCCGCCGAGUUCUUUGACGGUAUCUAACGACGACACCAACAUGUAGUGCCUUGAGAGGGAGACAGUAUCUUCCAACGACGGAGUAUUUAAUCAAUUCUUCAGUGUUUAUUGCAUUCACAACUCUGGAGCAUUGCGUCGGUAUAAUUGAGUUGCUGAGGAUGCAAGUUUCAGCGGCCACAUCCAUCCAGUUUUUUAUGAUGGUAAUCGCAUCCGUAGAUGGCGCCUUCCAGCUAUGUGCAUCCUUUCUUCGAAUGUGCCGUACAAAAGAGAUAUUCUCUAUGAGCUUGAUCUUUGCAACAGAAGACCCAUGAGUUUGUGUACCUUUCAUCUCAACUUUGCCUUCUUGGUUCUAACAGU